rnacentral:rRNA from 1 species
GGGACUUUGCUUGCUCUGUGGGUCAGUGGCGACGGGUGAGUACACGUGAGCACCUGCCCCUGACUCUGGGAUAAGCGCUGGAAACGGCGUCUAAUACUGGAUACGAACCAUGAAGGCAUCUUCAGUGGUUGGAAAGAUUUAUUGGUUGGGGAUGGGCUCGCGGCCUAUCAGCUUGUUGGUGAGGUAAUGGCUCACCAAGGCGUCGACGGGUAGCCGGCCUGAGAGGGUGACCGGCCACACUGGGACUGAGACACGGCCCAGACUCCUACGGGAGGCAGCAGUGGGGAAUAUUGCACAAUGGGCGCAAGCCUGAUGCAGCAACGCCGCGUGAGGGAUGACGGCCUUCGGGUUGUAAACCUCUUUUAGCAGGGAAGAAGCGAAAGUGACGGUACCUGCAGAAAAAGCGCCGGCUAACUACGUGCCAGCAGCCGCGGUAAUACGUANGGCGC